rnacentral:rRNA from 1 species
AUUGAACGCUGGCGGCAGGCCUAACACAUGCGAGUCGAACGGUAACAGGAAGAAGCUUGCUUCUUUGCUGACGAGUGGCGGACGGGUGAGUAAUGUCUGGGAAACUGCCUGAUGGAGGGGGAUAACUACUGGAAACGGUAGCUAAUACCGCAUAACGUCGCAAGACCAAAAAGGGGGACCUUCGGGCCUCUUGCCAUCGGAUGUGCCCAGAUGGGAUUAGCUAGUAGGUGGGGUAACGGCUCACCUAGGCGACGAUCCCUAGCUGGUCUGAGAGGAUGACCAGCCACACUGGAACUGAGACACGGUCCAGACUCCUACGGGAGGCAGCAGUGGGAAUAUUGCACAAUGGGCGCAAGCCUGAUGCAGCCAUGCCGCGUGUAUGAAGAAGGCCUUCGGGUUGUAAAGUACUUUCAGCGGGGAGGAAGGGAGUAAAGUUAAUACCUUUGCUCAUUGACGUUACCCGCAGAAGAAGCACCGGCUAACUCCGUG